rnacentral:rRNA from 1 species
UGGGGAAUCUUCCGCAAUGGACGAAAGUCUGACGGAGCAACGCCGCGUGAGUGAAGAAGGUUUUCGGAUCGUAAAACUCUGUCUUUUGGGGCGAACGUGAGUAUGGUGAACAAUCAUAGUCAGUGACGGUACCAAAGGAGGAAGCCACGGCUAACUACGUGCCAGCAGCCGCGGUAAUACGUAGGUGGCAAGCGUUGUCCGGAAUUAUUGGGCGUAAAGAGCGCGUAGGCGGGAUAGUCAGUCUGUUGUAAAGUGCGGGGCUCAACCCCGUGAUGGCAAUGGAAACAGCUAUUCUUGAGUGCAGGAGAGGAAAGUGGAAUUCCCAGUGUAGCGGUGAAAUGCGUAGAUAUUGGGAGGAACACCAGUGGCGAAGGCGACUUUCUGGACUGUGUCUGACGCUGA